rnacentral:rRNA from 1 species
UACGAAGGGGGCUAGCGUUGUUCGGAAUGACUGGGCGUAAAGGGCGUGUAGGCGGUUUACACAGUCAGAUGUGAAAUCCCCGGGCUUAACUCGGGAGCUGCAUUUGAUACGUGUAGACUAGAGUGUGAGAGAGGGUUGUGGAAUUCCCAGUGUAGAGGUGAAAUUCGUAGAUAUUGGGAAGAACACCGGUGGCGAAGGCGACAACCUGGCUCAUUACUGACGCUGAGGCGCGAAAGCGUGGGGAGCAAACAGG